CUGGCCCUGAAUCAAGACCAGCAGCUUCCUGACACUGUUGGUUUCAAACAGGAGCCUAAAUCGUCUGUUGGCCAUUUCAGAACUUGGACAGUGAAAUGGUCAAUUCAUUAGAAACAGCU
ensembl:snoRNA